GGGUUGUGAGGUUAAGCGACUAAGCGUACACGGUGGAUGCCCUGGCAGUCAGAGGCGAUGAAGGACGUGCUAAUCUGCGAUAAGCGUCGGUAAGGUGAUAUGAACCGUUAUAACCGGCGAUUUCCGAAUGGGGAAACCCAGUGUGAUUCGUCACACUAUCAUUAACUGAAUCCAUAGGUUAAUGAGGCGAACCGGGGGAACUGAAACAUCUAAGUACCCCGAGGAAAAGAAAUCAACCGAGAUUCCCCCAGUAGCGGCGAGCGAACGGGGAGGAGCCCAGAGCCUGAAUCAGUGUGUGUGUUAGUGGAAGCGUCUGGAAAGGCGCGCGAUACAGGGUGACAGCCCCGUACACAAAAAUGCACAUACUGUGAGCUCGAUGAGUAGGGCGGGACACGUGGUAUCCUGUCUGAAUAUGGGGGGACCAUCCUCCAAGGCUAAAUACUCCUGACUGACCGAUAGUGAACCAGUACCGUGAGGGAAAGGCGAAAAGAACCCCGGCGAGGGGAGUGAAAAAGAACCUGAAACCGUGUACGUACAAGCAGUGGGAGCCUCUUUAUGGGGUGACUGCGUACCUUUUGUAUAAUGGGUCAGCGACUUAUAUUCUGUAGCAAGGUUAACCGAAUAGGGGAGCCGAAGGGAAACCGAGUCUUAACUGGGCGUUAAGUUGCAGGGUAUAGACCCGAAACCCGGUGAUCUAGCCAUGGGCAGGUUGAAGGUUGGGUAACACUAACUGGAGGACCGAACCGACUAAUGUUGAAAAAUUAGCGGAUGACUUGUGGCUGGGGGUGAAAGGCCAAUCAAACCGGGAGAUAGCUGGUUCUCCCCGAAAGCUAUUUAGGUAGCGCCUCGUGAAUUCAUCUCCGGGGGUAGAGCACUGUUUCGGCAAGGGGGUCAUCCCGACUUACCAACCCGAUGCAAACUGCGAAUACCGGAGAAUGUUAUCACGGGAGACACACGGCGGGUGCUAACGUCCGUCGUGAAGAGGGAAACAACCCAGACCGCCAGCUAAGGUCCCAAAGUCAUGGUUAAGUGGGAAACGAUGUGGGAAGGCCCAGACAGCCAGGAUGUUGGCUUAGAAGCAGCCAUCAUUUAAAGAAAGCGUAAUAGCUCACUGGUCGAGUCGGCCUGCGCGGAAGAUGUAACGGGGCUAAACCAUGCACCGAAGCUGCGGCAGCGACACUAUGUGUUGUUGGGUAGGGGAGCGUUCUGUAAGCCUGUGAAGGUGKMCUGUGAGGKWUGCUGGAGGUAUCAGAAGUGCGAAUGCUGACAUAAGUAACGAUAAAGCGGGUGAAAAGCCCGCUCGCCGGAAGACCAAGGGUUCCUGUCCAACGUUAAUCGGGGCAGGGUGAGUCGACCCCUAAGGCGAGGCCGAAAGGCGUAGUCGAUGGGAAACAGGUUAAUAUUCCUGUACUUGGUGUUACUGCGAAGGGGGGACGGAGAAGGCUAUGUUGGCCGGGCGACGGUUGUCCCGGUUUAAGCGUGUAGGCUGAUUUUCCAGGCAAAUCCGGAAAAUCAAGGCUGAGGCGUGAUGACGAGGCACUACGGUGCUGAAGCAACAAAUGCCCUGCUUCCAGGAAAAGCCUCUAAGCAUCAGGUAACAUCAAAUCGUACCCCAAACCGACACAGGUGGUCAGGUAGAGAAUACCAAGGCGCUUGAGAGAACUCGGGUGAAGGAACUAGGCAAAAUGGUGCCGUAACUUCGGGAGAAGGCACGCUGAUAUGUAGGUGAAGCGACUUGCUCGUGGAGCUGAAAUCAGUCGAAGAUACCAGCUGGCUGCAACUGUUUAUUAAAAACACAGCACUGUGCAAACACGAAAGUGGACGUAUACGGUGUGACGCCUGCCCGGUGCCGGAAGGUUAAUUGAUGGGGUUAGCGGUAACGCGAAGCUCUUGAUCGAAGCCCCGGUAAACGGCGGCCGUAACUAUAACGGUCCUAAGGUAGCGAAAUUCCUUGUCGGGUAAGUUCCGACCUGCACGAAUGGCGUAAUGAUGGCCAGGCUGUCUCCACCCGAGACUCAGUGAAAUUGAACUCGCUGUGAAGAUGCAGUGUACCCGCGGCAAGACGGAAAGACCCCGUGAACCUUUACUAUAGCUUGACACUGAACAUUGAGCCUUGAUGUGUAGGAUAGGUGGGAGGCUUUGAAGUGUGGACGCCAGUCUGCAUGGAGCCGACCUUGAAAUACCACCCUUUAAUGUUUGAUGUUCUAACGUUGGCCCGUKAUCCGGGUUGCGGACAGUGUCUGGUGGGUAGUUUGACUGGGGCGGUCUCCUCCUAAAGAGUAACGGAGGAGCACGAAGGUUGGCUAAUCCUGGUCGGACAUCAGGAGGUUAGUGCAAUGGCAUAAGCCAGCUUGACUGCGAGCGUGACGGCGCGAGCAGGUGCGAAAGCAGGUCAUAGUGAUCCGGUGGUUCUGAAUGGAAGGGCCAUCGCUCAACGGAUAAAAGGUACUCCGGGGAUAACAGGCUGAUACCGCCCAAGAGUUCAUAUCGACGGCGGUGUUUGGCACCUCGAUGUCGGCUCAUCACAUCCUGGGGCUGAAGUAGGUCCCAAGGGUAUGGCUGUUCGCCAUUUAAAGUGGUACGCGAGCUGGGUUUAGAACGUCGUGAGACAGUUCGGUCCCUAUCUGCCGUGGGCGCUGGAGAACUGAGGGGGGCUGCUCCUAGUACGAGAGGACCGGAGUGGACGCAUCACUGGUGUUCGGGUUGUCAUGCCAAUGGCACUGCCCGGUAGCUAAAUGCGGAAGAGAUAAGUGCUGAAAGCAUCUAAGCACGAAACUUGCCCCGAGAUGAGUUCUCCCUGACUCCUUGAGAGUCCUGAAGGAACGUUGAAGACGACGACGUUGAUAGGCCGGGUGUGUAAGCGCAGCGAUGCGUUGAGCUAACCGGUACUAAUGAACCGUGAGGCUUAACCUUACAACGCCGAAGRUGUU
rnacentral:rRNA from 1 species